ACCAAAGGAGUCUAACAUAUGUGCAAGUUAUUGGGAGAUAAAACUAAUAGCGUAAUUAACUUGAGUAAUAAUGGUAUUAGUUUUUAUCUAUUUAUAGAUAAUUAACACAAUCCCGGGGCGUUCUAUAUAGUUAUGUAUAAUAAUAUUUAUAGUAUUUAUGCCUCUAACUGGAACGAACCUUGAGCAUAUAUGCUGUGACCCGAAAGAUGGUGAACUAUACUUGAUCAGGUUGAAGUCAGGGGAAACCCUGAUGGAACACCGAAACAGUUCUGACGUGCAAAUCGAUUGUCAGAAUUGAGUAUAGGGGCGAAAGACCAAUCGAACCAUCUAGUAGCUGGUUCCCUCCGAAGUUUCCCGCAGGAUAGCUGGUGCAUUUUAAUGUUAUAUAAAAUAAUCUUAUCUGGUAAAGCGAAUGAUUAGAGUCCUUAGGGUCGAAACGAUCUUAACCUAUUCUUUAAUGGGUAAGAACCUUAACUUUCUCGAUAUGAAGUUUAAGGUUAUGAAAUAAUGUGCCCAGUGGGCCACUUUUGGUAAGCAGAACUGGCGCUGUGGGAUGAACCAAACGUAAUGUUACGGUGCCCAAAUUAACAACUCAUGCAAAAACCAUGAAAGGCGUUGGUUGCUUAAAACAGCAGGACGGUGAUCAUGGAAGUUGAAAUCCGCUAAGGAGUGUGUAACACCUCACCUGCCGAAGCAACUAGCCCUUAAAAUGGAUGGCGCUUAAGUUGUAUACUUAUACAUUACCGCUAAAGUAGAUGAUUUAUAUUACUUGUGAUAUAAAUUUUGAAACUUUAGUGAGUAGGAAGGUACAAUGGUAUUUAUUUAUUUAUUAAAUUAACAAAUUAUAUGUUAAUAAUGGUACUUAGUUACUAAAGGCGGAAAAAGAGAAGUUAAAAGUUAGCUAAAUUUAAGUGAUUAUAAAUAUUGCAUGCAAUUAGUUUAAGAGACAGUUCAGGGGAUAGGGUUUGGCAGAGGGAGUUAUAAUUAUAUAAUUAGACCUACAUAUGGGUAGACGGAUAGGCCUAAAAGUACGGGUAGGUCUGGAUGGAACGGCCAAGUCAACCUGACCCAAGAGAGUUUGGGAAGGAGAAGGAGCUUGUGCACGAACAUUACGCCAUUGCAUAUUCUGCUAUGGUGCAACGACGGCAGGUCAAUAAGAUUUAGCCUAGACCGGUAGGGUGGCAAGAUUCUACCCGAGUCCCAGUUAAAGUUCCGAAGGGCAAAAAUUAAAAAUUGCUUUUGCACGGAUUCAAUAACAGCCUGCUGCUCUUUAUACUGCGGGCUCCACACACAAGAACAAUACUCCAAUAUAGGACGUACUAACGAGAUGUACAGUUGUUUCGUAACGUACGGGUCGUCAAACUCCUUGGACCAACGCUUGAUGAACGCUAAAACACCCUUAGCUUUAUUUACAGUUGCAGCUAUAUGAGUGUUAAAACACAUCUUAUGAUCAAAAAGGACUCCGAGGUCAUUUGAACUCGAAAUUCGCUCAAGGAUAUGAUUUCCUAGAACAUAUGAGACAAAAUGAGGAGCACGACGGUAAAAUGUCAUAAGUUUGCAUUUGGAAAGGUUCAGAAAAAGAAGAUUAGUAGUUCACUUAGAUCAAGUAGAAGGCGUGUGUGCAAAUACCAAUCAGAGUAAGAAAGACAGAUUUUAACAUCAUCAGUAUACAUUAGUGUAGUAGAGAAUGUUAUAACUUGAGGAAGAUCAUUCACAAAUAAAAUAAACAGAAGCGGGCCCAGAUGACUUCCCUGUGCCACACCUGAAGUAACAUUAUUUGACAACAGUAUUUGACAACACGUUAGAAAACAAAACACGUUGAGUACGGUUAGAGAGAUAGGACAAAAUCCAAUCUAGAAGAUUCGUUGGGAACCCUAAUAAAGAGAGCGUGUGAAUAAGCAGAGCAUGGUUCACAGAAUCGAAUGCCUUGCUGAAGUCCGUAAAAACUACAUCCGUCUGCAAACCAAUUUGAAAACCACGGUGGAUUAGGUUAGAAAACUCAAGAAGGUUAGUCGAUGUUGAACGAUGUCUGAAAAAACCGUGUUGCGACGGAGAUAUCAAGCUGCAGCAAAGAUGUUGCAGUUGCCGGAAAAGGAAAAGCGUUUGACUUGCGCUUAGAGUUAACGAACGAAUAGAAUUUUUUACGAUCACUGCGAAAGUUACUACUACAUUGUGAAAGGUAAUGAUUAUAACACUGACUAUUAACGCCAAGGAACAGAGAGCGAGCGGAGGAGUAUAGAGCUAAGGCCGACGUGGAGCCCGACUUCCGAUACUUUUUAUAGAGCCGGGAUUUAUUAUUUUUUAAGAAUGACAAAUACUUGGAGAACCAGGGAGGCUUGGACGAUACAGGUACAGUGAUAUCUGGAACAAAAGUAUUAAGGGCGGAGUAAAUAGAACUAUAAAACGAGUUAACAGUUGCAGAUAGAAGUAGAAGUGUUUGGCGUAAGCCUUCAUGGAGCUGCCAUUGGCACAGAUCUUGGUGGUAGUAGCAAAUAAUCGAAUGAGACCUUGGAGGACUGAAGUGGAGAAGGGUUUCGUGUGAACAGUGGUUGAUCACGAGUUAGUCGGUCCUAAGUUCAAGGCGAAAGCCGAAAAUUUUCAAGUAAAAAAUCAGUGAGUAAUAUUGUCAAAUCUUUUAUGAUUUUUAAAUACUUGAAUAAUUUUGAACGAAAGGGAAUACGGUUCCAAUUCCGUAACCUGUUGAGUAUCCGUUUGUUAUUAAAUAUGGGCCUCGUGCUCAUAGAUGGUAGAUGGGCUAGAAGAGCAUGACAUAUACUGUUGUGUCGAUAUGUCUCCUCGGACCUUGAAAAUGUAUGGUGGGGACACGCAAACUUCUCAACAGGCCGUACCAAUAUCCGCAGCUGGUUUCCAAUGUGAAGAGUCUCUAGUC
rnacentral:ncRNA from 1 species